UAUUAUUUCUUACGUAGGCAAUUCUCUCAGAUCUGUCUUCAUAUGAAAAACCCAGAAAAUCAUAUCUCUGCUCAUAAGCAAAGCUGAGUAUUCUGCAACUUAAUUUUUAGGCCGAAUGAUAACACCCUUGAUAACAAGUCCUCUAUUCCAUUUCCCACUAUCAUAUUCAUACAUCGAAAACUCCAUGUCACCAGGUAUUUCGGGUGAUGCUCUAAACUCGCCAACCAAAAUCUCUUUCCAUUGCUCUCUUGGGAUUUCCUUCAACUUAACUUCAUGCCAUUGUUUGCUACCAUCUGGAAGAGUGAGACUGACAUUCACUGGAACAUCCCAUCCAUCAGCUGAAGCUUUCAGCUUGACCACAAACGCAACUUCAUACAGAGUUCCUGGUGACAGCUUUGUAGUCUCAAAUUGUCCAUGCACUUCUAGCCAACAUUCAUUAAUCAUUUCAGCAGCAUCAAUGAAGACACCACUG
rnacentral:lncRNA from 1 species